CGGCGAGUAAGCGCCUCUCUAUCUCACUUCCGGCUCCGCGCGCAGGGGACCGGGGGCUCCACUUCCGGCCAGGCUGAGGGGCUACCGAUCGCUGAAGAGGGCAGUGAAGAAUCCUGGCUUCCCCUGAGUAGAGUUUGGAAGAGCUCCUUGGGCUGUUGAAGAGAUGAGACUUGUCUGCGUAUGGUACCUACUGUGCACUGGCCCUGUGGGGAUUCAGAGCUGAAGAAAUCUCAGCCUCAAGUGGAAGAGGACUGGGACAACAGAAAUUCAGACAGGCAGAGGGUCCGAGUCACUCAUCCCAGAUCAGGAGGCCCCAAGCCAAAGGACACAAGCCCAAAGGUGGGCUGUUGCGAAAGCUGAGGACCCUGCAGAGGCCACACUGGGGUCAGAAUCAAUGGCACUACCUUGGGCAGGGAAACAGCAGAAGGCUAUUUUUGAAGCCAUAAAUGCUCAGGGCACCCCAGGUUGCAAUUAAUAAAUACCAUUGUUGAUAGACAGAAACAAAGCCCGCCUUCACUUCUUGAUUCUGUGGCCCAUUUGGUGAAGCACUCAGGAACAAGCUCAGCCAACAUACACACAUAAUGGCAUUAAUUACAUCCUGUGAAUUUAUUUUUCCAGAGAGAAAUAUUUCUGAGGGGAAAUGUCUAUAAAAGCAGUUUAAGCAGAGUGUGAUUGUGUGUAUGUUUCCUAUAGGAAAUCUGUUUAGUUUAAAUCCCAGCUUGAG